CUUAGAAUUUCAACAUUCUGUAAAGUAGGAGUUGGGUCAGUGCAAAAAUUUCAUAUGGAGAUGCUGGGGAUUGAACCAAGGACCUCAUACAUGUGAAGCAUGCACUCUACCACUGAGCUCCAUCCCUGUUCUGGGAGAGAGAAAAAAAAAUUCUUAUUUUAUUUUAUUUCACCUUUAUUUAACCGGGUAAGCAAGUGGAGAACAAGUUCUCAUUGAGAACUGCAACCUGGCCAAGAUAAAGCAAAGCAGUGCAACAUAAACAACAACACAGAGUUACAAAUGGAAUAAACAAGCAUACAGUCAAUAACACAAUAGAAAAAAAGAAAGUCAAAAUACAAUGUGUGCAAAUGGCAUGAGGAGGUAAGGUAAUAAAUAGGCCAUGGUAGUGAGGUAAUUACAAUUUAGCAAAUUAACACUGGAGUGACAGAUGAGCAGAUGAUGAUGUGCAAGUACAAAUACUGGUGUGCAAAAGAGCAGAAAGUAAAUAAAAACAAUAUGGGGAUGAGGUAGGUAGAUUGGGUGGGCUAUUUACAGAUGGCCUAUGUACAGCUGCAGCGAUCGGUUAGCUGCUCAGAUAGCUGAUGUUUAAAGUUAUUGAGGGAAAUAUAAAUAUAAUAUAUUCAUGGCACGUAUUCGAAUUUCCAAAAUAAUGCAUUUAUGAAAAUAACUAUUCUCUGUUUAAAGUACAGUACCUACUGCAUGUGUCAAAGAGCACUGUUUCCUCCCGGUUUCAAACCGAAG
rnacentral:tRNA from 1 species